AGAGUUUGAUCAUGGCUCAGGAUGAACGCUGGCGGCGUGCUUAACACAUGCAAGUCGAACGAGCCUUCGGGCUAGUGGCGGACGGGUGAGUAACGCGUGGGAAUCUGCCCUCAGGAGGGGGAUAACGGCCGGAAACGGCCGCUAAUACCCCAUAUGCCGAGAGGUGAAAUGAAUUUCGCCUGAGGAUGAGCCCGCGUCUGAUUAGCUAGUUGGUGUGGUAAUGGCGCACCAAGGCGACGAUCAGUAGCUGGUCUGAGAGGAUGAUCAGCCACACUGGGACUGAGACACGGCCCAGACUCCUACGGGAGGCAGCAGUGGGGAAUUUUCCGCAAUGGGCGAAAGCCUGACGGAGCAACGCCGCGUGAGGGAUGAAGGCCUCUGGGCUGUAAACCUCUUUUCUCAAGGAAGAAGACAUGACGGUACUUGAGGAAUAAGCCACGGCUAAUUCCGUGCCAGCAGCCGCGGUAAUACGGGAGUGGCAAGCGUUAUCCGGAAUUAUUGGGCGUAAAGCGUCCGCAGGCGGCCUUGUAAGUCUGUCGUUAAAGCGUGGAGCUUAACUCCAUUUGAGCGAUGGAAACUACAAGGCUUGAGUGUGGUAGGGGCAGAGGGAAUUCCCGGUGUAGCGGUGAAAUGCGUAGAUAUCGGGAAGAACACCAGUGGCGAAGGCGCUCUGCUGGGCCAUAACUGACGCUCAUGGACGAAAGCCAGGGGAGCGAAAGGGAUUAGAUACCCCUGUAGUCCUGGCCGUAAACGAUGAACACUAGGUGUCGGGGGAAUCGACCCCCUCGGUGUCGUAGCUAACGCGUUAAGUGUUCCGCCUGGGGAGUACGCACGCAAGUGUUGAAACUCAAAGGAAUUGACGGGGGCCCCGCACAAGCGGUGGAGUAUGUGGUUUAAUUCGAUGCAACGCGAAGAACCUUACCAGGUUUGACAUCCUGCGAAUCCCUUGGAAACGAGGGAGUGCCUUCGGGAGCGCAGAGACAGGUGGUGCAUGGCUGUCGUCAGCUCGUGUCGUGAGAUGUUGGGUUAAGUCCCGCAACGAGCGCAACCCACGUCUUUAGUUGCCAGCAUUCAGUUGGGCACUCUAGAGAGACCGCCGGUGAUAAACCGGAGGAAGGUGUGGAUGACGUCAAGUCAUCAUGCCCCUUACAUCCUGGGCUACACACGUACUACAAUGCUACGGACAAAGGGUUGCAAGCUCGCGAGAGUUAGCUAAUCCCAUAAACCGUGGCUCAGUUCAGAUCGUAGGCUGCAACUCGCCUACGUGAAGGAGGAAUCGCUAGUAAUCGCAGGUCAGCAUACUGCGGUGAAUACGUUCCCGGGCCUUGUACACACCGCCCGUCACACCAUGGAAGUUGGCCAUGCCCGAAGUCGUUACUCCAACCCUUGUGGAGGAGGACGCCGAAGGUGGGGCUGAUGACUGGGGUGAAGUCGUAACAAGGUAACCGU
rnacentral:rRNA from 2 species